AUACCUUUCUUGGCCUUCAGGCUAAGAUCAAGCAUAGUAUCUAUUCUUAUUAGUGUAAUAUCUGAUAUGUGGGCCAUUUGCUCACUCCUUAUUAAAUUAAUUUUUUGAGGGGGGAGGGCCCUACUAUAGUAGCAAGCUAGUGGGGCCUCUCAUGCGUCACCUUGGUGUUGCACUAUUGCCUUGGCCUGGCGCACCCGCC